CCUACGGGAGGCAGCAGUGAGGAAUAUUGGUCAAUGGACGAGAGUCUGAACCAGCCAAGUAGCGUGAAGGAUGACUGCCCUAUGGGUUGUAAACUUCUUUUAUAUGGGAAUAAAACGUUCCACGUGUGGGAUUUUGUAUGUACCAUAUGAAUAAGGAUCGGCUAACUCCGUGCCAGCAGCCGCGGUAAUACGGAGGAUCCGAGCGUUAUCCGGAUUUAUUGGGUUUAAAGGGAGCGUAGGUGGAUUGUUAAGUCAGUUGUGAAAGUUUGCGGCGCAACCGUAAAAUUGCAGUUGAAACUGGCAGUCUUGAGUACAGUAGAGGUGGGCGGAAUGCGUGGUGUAGCGGUGAAAUGCUUAGAUAUCACGAAGAACUCCGAUUGCGAAGGCAGUUCACUGGACUGCAACUGACACUGAGGCUCGAAAGUGUGGGUAUCAAACAGGAUUAGAUACCCCAGUAGUC
rnacentral:rRNA from 1 species